GAUGAACGCUGGCGGCGUGCCUAAUACAUGCAAGUCGAGCGAACGGACGAGAAGCUUGCUUCUCUGAUGUUAGCGACGGACGGGUGAGUAACACGUGGAUAACCUACCUAUAAGACUGGGAUAACUUCGGGAAACCGUAGCUAAUACCGGAUAAUAUUUUGAACCGCAUGGUUCAAAAGUGAAAGACGGUCUUGCUGUCACUUAUAGAUGGAUCCGCGCUGCAUUAGCUAGUUGGUAAGGUAACGGCUUACCAAGGCAACGAUGCAUAGCCGACCUGAGAGGGUGAUCGGCCACACUGGAACUGAGACACGGUCCAGACUCCUACGGGAGGCAGCAGUAGGGAAUCUUCCGCAAUGGGCGAAAGCCUGACGGAGCAACGCCGCGUGAGUGAUGAAGGUCUUCGGAUCGUAAAACUCUGUUAUUAGGGAAGAACAUAUGUGUAAGUAACUGUGCACAUCUUGACGGUACCUAAACAGAAAGCCACGGCUAACUACGUG
rnacentral:rRNA from 1 species